rnacentral:SRP_RNA from 1 species
GCCGGAUGCAGUAGUGUGCACCUGUAGUCCCAGCUACUCGGGAGGCUGAGGUGGGAGGAUCGCUUGAGCCCGGGAGUUCUGGGCUGUAGUGUGCUCUGCCGAUCAGGUGUCCGCAGUAAGUUUGCCAUCACUGUGGGGAUGUCCCGGGACUGGGGGAUCACCAGGUUGCCUAAGGAAGGGUGAACCAGCCCAGGUCGGAAACGGAGCAGGUCAAAACUCCUGUGCUGAUCAUAGUGGGAUCGUGCCUGUGAAUAGCCACUGCACUCCAGCCUGGGCAACAUAGUGAGACCUUGACUCU